rnacentral:sRNA from 1 species
UUUUUUCAUAUUUGUUCUCAUCAUCCACAAUCUAAUUUCAUUAAAUCAAAAAGAGAAAACA